rnacentral:misc_RNA from 1 species
GAUAAAGGUCUUGGAUAUCUCCAGAAUGGCAAAGGAAUUAACCUCAGUUUUAAUUGAUGAUUCCUUUUAUCCCUGUUCUCAACAGUUAGUGGUUUGUUUUUCUGUCUUUUAUUUCUUUUAUCUUUUGGAUGAAUAUUUUAUACAACUGAAUAUUUGGAUACUGAACCCAAUGGUUUCAGCCAUGACUCUUUCGAAAGUUGGUGCUGUGAGUCCAGACCAUCUGUUUAGUUUCAUGCUGGGGACAUCCAUGUCUUCU